rnacentral:rRNA from 1 species
CAUCUAGGCGGGGUUUCAAGUCGACGGUGAAAACUAGUGGCUCAACCAUUAGCUUGCCGACGAAACUGAAAUUCUAGAGUAUUGGAAAGGUGGGCGGAACUACAUGAGUAGAGGUGAAAUUCGUAGAUAUAUGUAGGAAUGCCGAUGACGAAGGUAGCUCACUGGACAAAACUGACGCUGAAGUGCGAAAGCUAGGGGAGCAAACA